rnacentral:tRNA from 1 species
GCCCCGGUAGCUCAGUGGUAGAGCAGUGGCCUUUUAAGCCAAUGGUCGCAAGUUCGAUCCUUGCCCGGGGCACCA